rnacentral:tRNA from 1 species
GAAAGAGGUCUGAAACUAAUAGAGACUGCUAAUCCCUAAAUCCACGGUUUAAUUCCGCGGCUCAUUCG